rnacentral:lncRNA from 1 species
GAGAGCUGGCCGGCGCCGACCCGGCCUGGGGCAGCGGCCGCAGCUCCCCGCCCGGGACCGCGCAAAAAGGCCCAAGGUCCCGGGCCGCACUCACCGAAGUCCAGGAACUGCUUCAUGGAGAGCGGGGACGGCGAGAAGCGCGCGUAGAAGUCCACCUGGCCCGGAACGCCGCGCUCGGACGCCGGGCUGGAGCCCGAGUCCGAGCUGAAGCUGCGGCUGAAGCCGGCGGCGCGCAGCCCCGGGCCCGGGCCGGCCAAGGCGGCUCCGCGAAGCAGCCGCGCCAGCCUCAUGCCGAGUCCCGCUAGAGAAGCCACAGCCAGUACGCCAGGUUUCCCCGCGCCUCUGCCGAGUGGGUUGAAGGCAAAUACUUGAAGUUGCAAUCGAAGGUCAAGAAAAUGGAAUCAAGAGGUCACAAUCCUUCUCUGAUGAUGGCUUAGAAAGCUGGAAGACACUCAACAUUGAAUCCUGGGGCUCUGUGCCAUGCUUGCUAGGAGAAACAGCCACCAUGAGUCCAUCUUUCAGAUCUCAAGUGAACAGGGAAGAGAUUACUGCGUUCAGCACAGGGACAUCUACAAAGAAGGGAAGAAGAAACAGGGACAGACCAGUGAAGCAAUAGAAUAGUUACGUGGUUGUCAUUCUCCAGCUGGGAUUGAGAACAAGGGGAAGCUGGCCAUAGAGCCAGGUGACCAAAGAUGGAAGACAAAGGGUGGGCUGUGAUUCCCAGAGCUCCAAGCCUUGUUCUGUCUUGUCACACCAACUGUUACUGAUGAACAGCAUGUGAGAACUUUUGGCUGAUGAAUACAAGAUACGCUCAUUCAUUCUCUUCAUUGCUAUGAAAUGAGUUUUUCCACAACCUCCUGCAGAACCUCAACACAUCACUAGGUGGCAACAUCCCUACACCAUAUCGGUUUAGAAACCACGGUUAGGAGGAGCAGCAAAACACGCGGCAUCCCAGUAUGAUUCAGAAGUAAAGUUUACAAUCUUUGAGGCCUGGCUGACUCAUGGAACAACUAGGACAAGAAACAAAGACAAAGAACACACACCUGACUGGACAGAGAUAAACCAAGAGCUGAGAGUUUUGGAAACAAGGCUGGAGCUGAGGAAAAGGACUGGGAACACGAACCUGUACAAACAACAAAUUCUUACAACAGAAAACAAGCCACUCCUGGCCAUCAAGAAACCCACAAAUCUCAGAAGCAAAAGCAAAACAAAUGAAAAUACAAACCAAAUAGUCUCUAUUACCUUCAUGCCUGUUGGGUCCCAAUAAAGGAAUCAUUCCAAUAAAGGAUUCAACAUAUUUUUUUUAAACCAAUAUCAU